rnacentral:rRNA from 1 species
UACGGGGGGGCGAGCGUUGUUCGGAAUUACUGGGCGUAAAGGGCGCGUAGGCGGUUUGCUAAGUUAGAUGUGAAAACUCUGGGCUCAACCCAGAGCCUGCAUCUAAAACUGGCAGGCUAGAGUUCUGGAGGGGGUAGCGGAAUUCCUGGUGUAGCGGUGAAAUGCGUAGAUAUCAGGAGGAACACCGGUGGCGAAGGCGGCUACCUGGACAGAAACUGACGCUGGGGAGCGAAAGCAUGGGUAGCGAACGAGGA